rnacentral:rRNA from 1 species
GAUGAACGCUGGCGGCGUGCCUAAUACAUGCAAGUCGAGCGAACAGACGAGGAGCUUGCUCCUCUGACGUUAGCGGCGGACGGGUGAGUAACACGUGGAUAACCUACCUAUACGACUGGGAUAACUUCGGGAAACCGGAGCUAAUACCGGAUAAUAUAUUGAACCGCAUGGUUCAAUAGUGAAAGACGGUUUUGCUGUCACUUAUAGAUGGAUCCGCGCCGCAUUAGCUAGUUGGUAAGGUAACGGCUUACCAAGGCGACGAUGCGUAGCCGACCUGAGAGGGUGAUCGGCCAGACUGGAACUGAGACACGGUCCAGACUCCGACGGGAGGCAGCAGUAGGGAAUCUUCCGCAAUGGGCGAAAGCCUGACGGAGCAACGUCGCGUGAGUGAUGAAGGUCUUCGGAUCGUAAAACUCUGUUAUUAGGGAAGAACAAAUGUGUAAGUAACUAUGCACGUCUUGACGGUACCUAAUCAGAAAGCCACGGCUAACUACGUG